rnacentral:rRNA from 1 species
CGCUUUCACUCCUACGGGAGGCAGCAGUGGGGAAUAUUGCACAAUGGGGGAAACCCUGAUGCAGCCAUGCCGCGUGUGUGAAGAAGGCCUUCGGGUUGUAAAGCACUUUCAGUAGGGAGGAAGGUAGUGUAGUUAACACCUGCAUUAUUUGACGUUACCUACAGAAGAAGCACCGGCUAACUCCGUGCCAGCAGCCGCGGUAAUACGGAGGGUGCGAGCGUUAAUCGGAAUUACUGGGCGUAAAGCGCAUGCAGGCGGCCUGUUAAGUCAGAUGUGAAAGCCCGGGGCUUAACCUCGGAAUUGCAUUUGAAACUGGCAGGCUAGAGUCUUGUAGAGGGGGUAGAAUUUCAGGUGUAGCGGUGAAAUGCGUAGAGAUCUGAAGGAAUACCAGUGGCGAAGGCGGCCCCCCUGGACAGAUACUGACACUCAGAUGCGAAAGCGUGGGGAGCAAACAGGAUUAGAUACCCUGGUAG